rnacentral:rRNA from 1 species
GCUGUCGUGUGCCCGCCAGAGGACCCCAAACUCUGAAUACAGUGUCGUCUGAGUACUAUAUAAUAGUUAAAACUUUCAACAACGGAUCUCUUGGUUCUGGCAUCGAUGAAGAACGCAGCGAAAUGCGAUAAGUAAUGUGAAUUGCAGAAUUCAGUGAAUCAUCGAAUCUUUGAACGCACAUUGCGCCCCUUGGUAUUCCGGGGGGCAUGCCUCUUCCAGCGUCAUUUCACCCCUCAAGCUCUGCUUGGUUUUGGGCCGCGCCAGCAACGGCGGGCCUCGAAAAUAGUGGCGACGCCAUCGUGCUCUCAGCGUAGUAAUUCUUCUCGCUGUUGGGUCCCGGUGGUUGGUCCGCCAGCAACCCUCAACUUUCUUAAGUUUGACCUGGGAUGAGGUAGGGAUACCCGCUGAACUUAAGCAUAUCAAUAAGCGGAGGAAAAGAAACCAACAGGGAUUGCCUCAGUAACGGCGAGUGAAGCGGCAACAGCUCAAAUUUGAAAUCUGGUCCUUUCAGGUCCCGAGUUGUAAUUUGUAGAAGAUGCUUCGAGCGUGGCUCCNGUCUAAGUCCC